rnacentral:rRNA from 1 species
ACAGGGAGGUAGUGACAAGAAAUAACAAUACAGGACUUUUUGGUUUUGUAAUUGGAAUGAGUUAAGUAUAAACCCCUUUACAAGUAUCAAUUGGAGGGCAAGUCUGGUGGCAGCAGCCGCGGUAAUUCCAGCUCCAAUAGCGUAUAUUAAAGUUGUUGCAGUUAAAAAGCUCGUAGUUGGAUUUCUGUUAAUAAUUUAUAUAAAAUAUUUUGAUGAAUAUUUAUAUAAUAUUAACAUAAUUCAUAUUACUAUAUAUUUUAGUAUAUGAAAUUUUACUUUGAGAAAAUUAGAGUGCUUAAAGCAGGCAUAUGCCUUGAAUACUCCAGCAUGGAAUAAUAUUAAAGAUUUUUAUCUUUCUUAUUGGUUCUAAGAUAAGAAUAAUGAUUAAUAGGGACAGUUGGGGGCAUUUGUAUUUAACAGUCAGAGGUGAAAUUCUUAGAUUUGUUAAAGACAAACUAAUGCGAAAGCAUUUGCCAAGGAUGUUUUCAUUAAUCAAGAACGAAAGUUAGGGGAUCGAAGACGAUCAGAUACCGUCGUAGUCUUAACCAUAAACUAUGCCAACUAGAGAUUGGAGGUUGUUCCUUACUCCUU